GGCUUCAUGCAAUGUUCAAAUUUCAGUUUAGGAAAUGUUGCAAAUGGAUGCAUAUUUAAUUAGAUGAUUUAGCAUGUCAGAAAACGACUGUGAUGAAUCAACUGAGGAAGUAUGACGAUAUCUGAAAGAUUUCUGCUCGGUUCAGCGGGAGUCCUGUGUUGAUGUGGCGCGUGUCCAGUAGGGGGCAGCAGUGAUGCUGAAGGGGGCCGGACUGAAGAAGCGUUCCUCCAGCUCUUCACUUCGCUUCACAUCUUCAUCUACAGCGGAUCAUCCACUCGUGAGGUCCAGCGACAGACGCUUUUCUUACUCCUUUCUGUAUUAAAGCAUCACAAUCAUCGCGAGUCGCGCGCUAAAUGCCGCUCGGGUGUUUGCGGGAAUUGCGGGAUUUGCCUUUUAAUUCCUCUGAACUGGAUAUGAAGUGCAACUGUGAGCGAGAGAUGCACGAGCUCUCUUAACCACAGCAGGGAUACAAUGGGGAAACUUCACUCAAAACAUGCUUGCAAACGUCGGGAAAAUCCUGAGGGGAAUAGUUUUGUUGUUAGUGAACGGUCUUUUAUUCAAGAAGAGGAGCUGAAGAGGGCGAGAGAUACGACACAAAUCUGCAUCUGAGUCUGUCUGGUUAGCCAUCAUAAGGUGAGUUAAGGCUGUUCUAUGCUCAGUUAAUGAAGUAUGUCAGGCUGAAGAAUGCCUGCUCAGCCCCUAGUAUCAAAGUAUAGCUGUUUAUGCCACCUCCAAGCAGAAUUAAACAGUGUGUAAAGAUGCCUAAAUGCCUCUUCAGAAGUGCUUCUGUGCCAGUUUGCAGUAGAUUCAGCAAUACAUCGUCAUCCUAACUGUUCUACACACAAAAAACACUUCUCUUGGAAAACCCAACUGAUUUCAAUCCAUUUUUCCAAAGAUUGUAGCAUAUGCAUUAGGGCUGGGUUGAAAAUAUAGAUUUGAAUCGAUUCUUAUUUAAGCGAAUUUUAAAUUCCAAGAAUCAAUCUAUGCUGUUUUCAGUCGAUGUGUGGACGAAACAUAAUGAAACAUUAUUUGUAGCGCCUCUCCCUGCAGGAAAUUCCAAAAAUAUCUGUUACUUUUGAAAUGAAACAAAGUCUCAGCUUUCAAAUUCUGUCUAUUUUGUCAUGAACCGAUCACGUCUUCCUAUUUACUACUAGUUAUAACACCAAAUAAACAUGAAUGAACAUUAAGAAAGUGUUGAAAGAAACUUACUGAAACGAUCCUGUCUCAUGUAAUCACUCAAACGGUGUUUCAAUCGUGGAAAGAUGUACAAUAAAAAAGCAUUUGAUCAGUCACACUUACCUCAGGAAAGCCGUUAAGUGAUCAGAAAUUCGAUAGUUAGCAAAAAAAAUAAAAAUUUAAAAAAUCACUCUAGAAAAGGGUAUUUUGCUAAAUAUGUGCACUAUAUUACAUAUUCAUUAUAUUUUUUACUUAACCUGUUCUUAAAUAUCUAAUGCAUGACUAAAAAAAUGAAAACAAGUUAUCACAUCCACAGUUUAAAUGUUUAUAUUUCUGGAGUAGAAACAUAAUUAUAUCAUUAAAAAGUUAUUUUAAAUAUAUUAUAAAUUAUAAUAAUUUUAUUCUAAAAAUGGCCUUAUGUGCAAUUUUUAUUGAAUUUUUUUAUGUAUGUUCACAGAUAUAAUAAAUAUAUAUAUAUAAAUAUUAUAAAAUAAAUAUAUUAUAAAUUUUGUUUUCCUUAUAAAAACACUAUUUUUUAAUGUGUGUUUACAACAUUAUCACUUUAAUUUAAUAAUGUACUGACUGACAGGGUUUAUUGAUUAGUUUCAAGUAUUAAUAUCUCAGAUAUAAUAAUAUAUAUAUAUAAUAUUAUAAAUAAUAUAUUAUAAUUUGUUUCCUUAUAAAACACUAUUUUUAAUGUGUGUUUACAACAUUAUCACUUUAAUUUAAUAAUGUACUGACUGACAGGGUUUAUUGAUUAGUUUCAAGUAUUAAUAUCUAUAUGAAUCGAGAUCGAGAUCGAAAUUUAAUCGAACAGCAAGCUUGUGAAUCAACCUCAGACUGAAUCAUGAAAUCUGUCUCAAUACCCAGCCC
rnacentral:lncRNA from 1 species